UACAGAGGGUGCAAGUGUUAAGCGGAAUUACUGGGCGUAAAGCGCACGUAGGCGGUUUUUUAAGUCAGAUGUGAAAGCCCCGGGCUCAACCUGGGAAUUGCAUUUGAAACUGGGAAACUAGAGUGUGUGAGAGGGGGGUAGAAUUCCAAGUGUAGCGGUGAAAUGCGUAGAGAUUUGGAGGAAUACCAGUGGCGAAGGCGGCCCCCUGGCACAACACUGACGCUCAGGUGCGAAAGCGUGGGGAGCAAACAGG
rnacentral:rRNA from 1 species